AAUCUUUCCCAACUUUGCUUUCUAAGUAUUUUACCUUAGAUUAAACUCACUACCUUAACAUAUAAAUUGCAAACCUCAGUAGUUUACAAUGUAAACACUUGUUAAUGGAAAGUUCAAAUGAAUGUUCUUCAUUGGUAGACAGUUCAACUCUGAGGGAUGAUUAAAGGCUUGAGUUCCUUCAGUGUUUUUGAUCCACCACCUUUAAAGCCUAUCUUCCAAGGCCAUGAUGGAAGGGAUGGGGGACAUGGAUGAGAGU
rnacentral:lncRNA from 1 species